AUCACCUUGACAGAUGGAUGUGUUAGAUUUAGGAUUUAAUUAUGCAAUUUUAGAUUUGCAGGUGAUA
rnacentral:tRNA from 1 species